rnacentral:rRNA from 1 species
CCUACGGGGGGCAGCAGUGAGGAAUAUUGGUCAAUGGACGGAAGUCUGAACCAGCCAAGUAGCGUGCAGGAUGACGGCCCUAUGGGUUGUAAACUGCUUUUGUAUGGGGAUAAAGUUAGGGACGUGUCCCUAUUUGCAGGUACCAUACGAAUAAGGACCGGCUAAUUCCGUGCCAGCAGCCGCGGUAAUACGGAAGGUCCAGGCGUUAUCCGGAUUUAUUGGGUUUAAAGGGAGCGUAGGCUGGAGAUUAAGUGUGUUGUGAAAUGUAGACGCUCAACGUCUGAAUUGCAGCGCAUACUGGUUUCCUUGAGUACGCACAACGUUGGCGGAAUUCGUCGUGUAGCGGUGAAAUGCUUAGAUAUGACGAAGAACUCCGAUUGCGAAGGCAGCUGACGGGAGCGCAACUGACGCUUAAGCUCGAAGGUGCGGGUAUCAAACAGGAUUAGAUACCCGGGUAGUC